GGGGAAUCUUGCGCAAUGGCCGAAAGGCUGACGCAGCGACGCCGCGUGGGGGAUGAAGGUUUUCGGAUCGUAAACCCCUGUUGCCCGGGACGAACAGCCCUUUCGAGGGACUUGACGGUACCGGGUGAGGAAGCACCGGCUAACUCUGUGCCAGCAGCCGCGGUAAUACAGAGGGUGCGAGCGUUGUCCGGAAUCACUGGGCGUAAAGGGCGCGUAGGCGGUUUGGCAAGUCUAUGGUGAAAGCUCGCCGCUCAACGGCGAGUCGGCCACGGAUACUGCUGAACUGGAGCACUGUAGAGGCAGGUGGAAUUCCGGGUGUAGCGGUGGAAUGCGUAGAGAUCCGGAAGAACACCGGUGGCGAAGGCGGCCUGCUGGGCAGUAGCUGACGCUGAGGCGCGACAGCGUGGGGAGCAAAC
rnacentral:rRNA from 1 species